UAAAGGAUCUGACCGUCUCCCAUCACAUGGAAUAUUCAAUAUAACUUCUUAGUUUUCAUAUUUUAAGACAACAUGUUGUGUUUCCUGUAGGAAUUCAGUCAUGUUCAACAACGAGACGAUGGCAGACGUUCACUUUGUGGUCGGGCCGCCCGGCGGCACGGAGCGGGUCCCGGGGCACAAGUACGUCCUGGCCGUCGGCAGCUCCGCUGAGCCUCUGGAGACGGUUUGAUGGGAGCGUGAAGAAGUCUGGAAGCUCCCGUUCCUUCACGCCUCUGUUGUUGUUUGUUUACAGCGGUUGUCGAGGUCGGGUCAACACGGCGGUGAUUGGAUGAGACGCCCGGGCAGGACGCUCCGUGUCUCGGCUAAAGCCGUGUGUCAGAUACCCGAGAACUCAAAGUGAAAAUGUCAUAUUGGAACAAAGCAUUCCUGACCGAAGACGCCCAGAGAAGGAAGGGAGAGUCACGUGUAACUGCACAUUUAUUCAUGGUGUGAUGGUACAUUAUGAUCAUAAUCCCACAAAGACACACACACACACACACACACACCAAUCUCUGCAUUGCUUUGUGCUGAUUGGCUGACCUCGUGUGAGGAGGCGGGGUCUGAAUCUGUCACUGUCUGUCCUUUUGUCACGCUCAAUGUUCCUCAUGAUUAAUCUGUUUACUUUGUUGAUAUUAUUAUUAUUAUUAAUCCCAGAGGUCAGAGCGUGUUCAAACGGUUCGUACGGGAGUUGAAGAAGACGAGUCUCUUCCUCACUUUCCUGCUUGACCCCGACGACGUUUAAAAAACACUUCUCGAUGUUUUCCGAUGCGCGGCGCGGGGCAGGUUGUUCUGGCUCCGUCAGUUUUACGUUAAAAACGUUUAAAUGUCGCUCAUCUGACUUUUUCUCUCACGACGAUCCGACUUUGAAAACGUUCCCGAGACGUCAACUUUAAAAAAACAGACGCAAAACGAAGCACCUGCUUCUGUUUUCACCUGUGCAGGUGUUUACUGUUGUUGUUGUUGUUCCUCCGUGACACUCGGAGCAUCACCGUAAAGACCCCGUGGGGCGACGUCUACCUGAGCAGACGACAACGCGCCGCCAUGUUGAGAGCGCGGAGGCAACGGACGAGCUCUGAAUUCCGGAUUAUAAAACGAAUAAAUAACCUUUUUUAAAAUAUAUUUGUAACACGAGAGCUUAAUCCCACUCCCGACUUCUUCCGUUUUCAUAACUCUACACUUUAUUAUUUUUAUUUUUUAAUGUGUAUUUAAAGAAUGGUCAAGGAUUCCUGUGCUUUUAUUGUGAAAGACGUGACCUGGUGCUUGUACCACAUCCUUGUUCUUGUCUCCUCCAUGUUGCAGACGUGUAAAUAGUUCUGUGAUCUCUUCUUCUUCUCUUUCAAAGUGGAGGGGAAGAAUUAAAUAAACAGUUUUUAUAUGAUUCUA